rnacentral:lncRNA from 1 species
UGAAUAAAACCGAGCAUUUGCUCAUGCUCAACCUGGUUUGAGUAAAGUAAAGUGUCUGAGCAUUUACUCAAAUCCGUAUGAAUAAAGUGGUACUUUGCUCAGAGUAAGUUCGAAUUUCGAACUUAGCUUUUACUUUGUCAAAAAUCUUGUUUUUGUUUAUGCUUUUUGAUUUUUUUUUGCGAAACAUAAAAAGAAUGCCAAUAGUGCAAUCAGUAUGUAGUGGUUUCGCGAAAAAAAUAGUAUGAAAGUGGAAAAGUUUGAGAUGUACCAUUUACUGCCAGUUGCUGAUGGAAUCACACACCCCGGCGAAAAACAAUUUUCAGCAUCCCACCUGCCGGGGAAGCGUCGGUGAGCGCAAAAAAUGGUCCGCCCGCAACCGCAACGCCUUCACCGGUGAACAGUCGAUUAUCAAACCAGAAAGAGACGGUGCCCUCGGAACGGGCCUACGGAAAUGGUACCCAAGUAAAUGCCAAGCCUGUGGGGUGGAUUAAAUGCCACUGUCAACAAGCAUCAGCACCAGAAAAACCACCAUACACACACUGGACAAGGAAAAGCAGAUCAAACUGGGGGCAACUAGCGGACAAUUCGGCUUCUUGAGUGAAUUCAAUAUGCCACAGGCUACCGGAUUGAAGGACCAUGACCUCACUGUCGCAAUCCAUAAUUCCUGGCUGCUGAAUAUAUAAAUAAACUGUGCUACAAACCCACUACAAAUGUUAAAAUUUUAAACAGUUUUCACAGGUAGGCAUGAACCAAUUGUGCUUAGAGACCUUUCUAAUAAUAUUUUUGAAGUUCACCAAAAAUAUAGGAAUCUGAGCAUAAUCUCAAAGAGAGAA